rnacentral:rRNA from 1 species
ACUCCUACGGGGAGGCAGCAGUGGGGAAUAUUGCACAAUGGGGGGAAACCCUGAUGCAGCCAUGCCGCGUGUGUGAAGAAGGCCUUCGGGUUGUAAAGCACUUUCAGUAGGGAGGAAGGUAGUGUAGUUAACACCUGCAUUAUUUGACGUUACCUACAGAAGAAGCACCGGCUAAACUCCGUGCCAGCAGCCGCGGUAAUACGGAGGGUGCGAGCGUUAAUCGGAAUUACUGGGCGUAAAGCGCAUGCAGGCGGCCUGUUAAGUCAGAUGUGAAAGCCCGGGGCUUAACCUCGGAAUUGCAUUUGAAACUGGCAGGCUAGAGUCUUGUAGAGGGGG